GAUGAACGCUGGCGGCGUGCUUAACACAUGCAAGUCGAACGGGAAACCUUUUAAUGAAGCUUCGGCAGAUUUAGCUGGGUUCUAGUGGCGGACGGGUGAGUAACGCUUGGGUAACCUGCCUUAUACAGGGGGAUAACAGUCAGAAAUGACUGCUAACACCGCAUAAGCGCACAGGACCGCAUGGUCCGGUGUGAAAGACUCUGGGGGGAUAGGUUGGACCGGCGUGGCAUUGGCUUGUUGGGGGGGUAACGGCUAACCAAGGCGACGACACUUAGCCGGCAAGUGAGAGUCGGCCGACACAUUGGGACUGAGCCGCAGCCCAGAAUACUACGGGAGGCAGCAGUGGGUAAUAUUGCACAAUCGGGGAAACCAUGAUGCAGCGCCGACGCGAGAAGGAAGAAGUAUCUGGGUAAGUAAACUUCUAUCAGCAGGGAAGAUAGUGACGGUACCUGAAUAAGAAGCCCCGGCUAACUACGUG
rnacentral:rRNA from 1 species